AGCGAACGCUGGCGGCAGGCCUAACACAUGCAAGUCGAACGAACCUUUCGGGGUUAGUGGCGGUCGGGUGAGUAACACGUGGGAACGUGCCUUUAGGUUCGGAAUAACUCAGGGAAACUUGUGCUAAUACCGAAUGUGCCCUUCCGGGGAAAGAUUCAUUGCGUUUAGAGCGGCCCGCGUCUGAUUCGCUAGUUGGUUGAGGUAAUGGCACACCUAGGCGACGAUCAGUAGCUGGUCUGAGAAGAUGAUACGCCACAUUGGAACUGAGACCCGGACCACAAUGCUACGGAGGGGAGCAGUAGAGAGUCUUACGGAAUGAACGCUAGCGUAACGCAGCCAUGCGGGGUAAAUGAUGAAGGUCUUAGGAUUGUAAAAUUCUUUCACAGGAGACGAUAAUGACGGUACCCGGUGAAGAAGCACCGGCUAACUACGUG
rnacentral:rRNA from 1 species